GCGUCAGGCUCUGCGCCGUCUGAGGGAGAAGCGGUCAUUACGGCGAGGUGACCUGUCCAGCGGGUCACAGAGUACAGGGAGCCAGAUGUCCGACACGUGGGCCGUAAGAAGCAACCGUCCGUACCCCGCCUACCAACACAACCAGGUCGCGCCCCUUGCUACCAUGGCAACCACCACAACACGACUCAACAGCCCGACUCAGUUAAAAGAGUUAGCUGACGGUAACCAUGGUGAAACUGAACGGGAGAGAGAGGAACUAUCCUUGAUGUAUAUCUAGCCACGCGCAGGGGGCGUACAAGGAGCAACACCCAGCGACACCCAAGUAGUUUGCCGGAGUCUCCGAACUACUCUCCAAGCUCUCCGUCUUUAUGAAUGCUUCCUUGUCAUCGGUCUGUGAACACUGAAUCAAAUCAGUUAACUUGCCAACCUGAUCCAAAUUUUCAUACGGAUCACAUGUUUUAAUUAUGUCCCCUUACUGAAAUAUAUUUUUAUUUAUUUUGUUCAUUUUUUAUUCACGUGCCACCGACAUUGUUGUUAUUGUGUAUGCAUUUGUGUCAACACAUUAACCACAUUCGCCAAAUGUAACCUAACCUACCUCGUCUUCCUUAAACUCCCUUAAAGUCAAUCAAUCAUCACCUUUUCCAAGCUUCCCUUAACUUAAAUCCCAACCCACACGCUUAAUCCGACUCACCAUUCCUACUCACACGC